UACGUAGGGUGCGAGCGUUGUCCGGAAUUAUUGGGCGUAAAGAGCUCGUAGGCGGUCUGUCGCGUCUGCUGUGAAAACUCAGGGCUUAACCCUGAGCUUGCAGUGGGUACGGGCAGACUAGAGUGCGGUAGGGGAGACUGGAAUUCCUGGUGUAGCGGUGAAAUGCGCAGAUAUCAGGAGGAACACCAGUGGCGAAGGCGGCCGGCUGGGGGCGCCCUGACGCUGAGGCGCGAGAGCGUGGGGAGCAAACCGG
rnacentral:rRNA from 1 species